UACGUAGGAGGCGAGCGUUGUCCGGAUUUACUGGGCGUAAAGCGCGCGCAGGCGGCAUGGCAAGUAAGGUGUGAAAUCUCCCUGCCUAACGGGGAGGGUGCAUUUUAGACUGCCAAGCUAGAGGACGGUAGAGGGGGGUAGAAUUGCUGGUGUAGCGGUGAAAUGCGCAGAUAUCAGGAGGAACACCAAUGGCGAAGGCAGCUCGCUGGGACGGUACUGACGCUGAGACGCGAAAGCGUGGGGAGCAAACAGG
rnacentral:rRNA from 1 species